CGGGCCUAACACAUGCAAGUCGUACGAGAACGCUCCUUCGGGAGUUAGUUAAAGUGGCGCACGGGUGAGGAACGCGUAGGUAAUCUACCCUCAGCGGGGGACAACACUCCGAAAGGAAUGCUAAUACCGCGUAAGACCACACUUACUAAGGUGAGAGUGGUAAAAGAUGGCCUCUUCUUGAAAGCUAUCACCAGAGGAUGAGCCUGCGUCCCAUCAGCUUGUUGGUAAGGUAACGGCUUACCAAGGCGAAGACGGGUAGCUGGUCUGAGAGGAUGAUCAGCCACACUGGCACUGGAACACGGGCCAGACUCCUACGGGAGGCAGCAGUGAGGAAUAUUGGGCAAUGGGCGCAAGCCUGACCCAGCCACGCCGCGUGUGUGAUGAAGGCCUUCGGGUCGUAAAGCACUGUGGGGAGGGACGAAAAACCUCCGUUCGAAUAGGGCGGAGGCUUGACGGUACCUCCUUAGCAAGCACCGGCUAACUCUGUG
rnacentral:rRNA from 1 species